rnacentral:sRNA from 1 species
GGACCUUGUACUCGAGUUCUUUGACGCAAGUUGCGCCCAAGCCAUUAGGCUUAGGGCACGUCUGCCUGGGCAUCACGCAUCGCGUCGCCCCCCUCCCCGUGCGCAUCGCCGGGUGGGUGGGGAGGGAAACUUGCCUUCCCUGCCCCUCGGCGUGUGGCCGGCCCAAAUGAGAUCCCCGGGCGACUGGCAUCACGACAAGUGGUGGUUGAACAUCUCAAUCUCUCUCAUGGUCCUGCCCCCCUGUCCUCCCCUACGGGAAAUGAAAAUGACCCAACGGUGCUCGGCGUGAAUAACAUCUCACCUUCUACUGUGACCCUACGUCAGGCGAGAUUACCCCCUGAGUUCAAGCAUAUCAAUAAGCGGAGGAAAA